GUGUAAAUGAUUGGGAUUGUGGUAAUUUCCCCAGUGGCUGUGGUGAAAUCCAAAGUUGUGCAGGGUGAGUAUGUAGGCUACACGUGUUGACACGUGUGAGUGUGUGAGCAUGCAGGUGUGUACAUUACUGUAUACGCUGGCUUGAAUACAGUAGCAGUAGUGGAAAGCUCCGCAUAUCUUUCCCAAUCAUCCAUCCAUCUCUUUCUCUCAGCUAUGUUUUAUUCAACAUGACCCUCUCGUAUUGUCUCUCACCCGCUCUCUCUCUCCCUCUCGCUCCCAUUUCUUCCCACUCUUCUCAUUAUUCUUUGAGUGCUUUCUCUAAAUUGGAGGGGAGCAGGAAAGAAAGAGAGGCGCAGCGCUCACGUGUGACCUCGCUGACCCAUUCCUCUUCAAAUCCAGGGUCCAAUUUUACCGGCUCACCAAACAAACAUCUCAGCCAUUACAGAAGGCAUCCAUAAUUAAUGCCACCUGAUAUUUGACAACUUGCUGAUGGAUUUAACAGGCUGGAGAUGAAAUCCCCGGGACUCCCUACACGUACAUGUUGUAGUUUCAACAAUUCUCCCCCUGCAUCUUUCCUCCUAUGCUUUUCAUCACUCUUUUAUUUGCUUGUUGCCCAAUAUGUUGUCAUUUUUGGUUGAUUCUGAUGAAGAAGACAGCAUAAACCGUGAGUUUGCACGGCCACAUGGAUCAGCUUAAUUUUGAUUAGUAACUAAACAGAAAUGUCAACAUGGCACACAUACAAAUCGACAAACAUUUCCUGUUGUUCCAUAUUGAAUCCAACUGCAAACAACAACCCACACACAACACAAUCACGCCUAUAUCAAAGCGCCAGAAGAUUGUGUGUAAUUGAGUUUGUGUGACAAGGACCAAUGAUGAUGUUGUAUUAAGUACUGGAGAGCAGGCAAGCACUGCCCCUGUGGGGGUCUUUCACAGCUACGCUCGCUACUCUUGAAGAAUCACCUUUCUCUGUCCCACAUUUCUCUGUGAUCAAUUCACGUCAGCUGGCCAUAUUUUAUUUAACACUUAAUCGUGCUGCUCCCCUCCCUGCAGUUCAUUUGUUCACAUGUAGGAGAAAAAGAAUUAAGAGCACGUGAACGCUCCAUUCCACACUCCUUCCCAGUUUCCUGCACUCUCCUGUGUCUGAUUCAAGUGCCGUUCGGCAGAAACAGGUCAGCCAUCAUUGGACCUUUUCUCUAAUUAAUUCUUCUUUUCAUACAGUGCCCUCCAUCUGAUGGGUGGCAGAGGCUCAAGAUACCAUAAUUGCAAACCCAAGCAGGUUUUUAAGAUGGUUGCAAUUCUCUUUUGUGAUCCGUUUUCACCGCUACUAUCCACAAGCUCAGUGGCUCAUGAGUUCUUUUCUUCCACAAAACAUCUUUCUUUCUCUCUUUCUUUGUGUGAAACUCUCUUAUCCCACCUACCCCCACAUCCCACAUCCUUGUCAUGCGCUACCUUUCAAAUGAUAUACAGUAUCUGACUCAGAUAGAAGAGCAGAGCAUGGUUCUGUUUCCUCAGACCUGUAGAGAGAUGGCUGAGGCCCUGAUUGUGCUGAAAAGGCACCGAGAGAGCAGAGACACGGCUGACAGCUCUCCAAAUGGACUGUACUCAUGCCAAAGCUGCUCUGAUGUCUGCUUUCUGCACAUGUAGCAACACCUAAAAGCCCAGAGGAUCCUCUAAAUCAUUGAUGGACAAGGCGAUGAAUCGCAGGGAAACUCUGCAUUGUGAGCGGAAGAAAGUCACCGAUGGAGGUUAUGCCGAAGAACCAUGGGAGUCGGGGGAAAUUUUUUGUUGAUCUAUUGCAUCUAUUGGCUUCACUUUCUCCCUGGGAAAAGGGUUUGACAGGAGGAGUGUGAAUACCUCUGAAGAAAAAACACCUCAAUAGGUUGGGACUGGAAUUUAUAAUAACUUCAUUUAGAAUUACUAUCAACAAUUGACAUGAUACAGAAAGAAAUGUAAUCCUUAACAGAGAUUUAAAGAGAUUUUGAAUAAUUAA